ACAGAGCUGCACUCAACUUAGCUUUAAAAAGAGGAGGAGUUGUGCAGAGGGGGAGGGGAGAAGGCGGCCGGCGCCUGCAGCCUCUGCCCAGGAAAACGCAGGGCAGGAAACGCCUCCAGCCCCCCUCCCCAACUGUCAAACCCUAGCCCUGCCGUGGUACUCCCAGGACACGUGUCUACUGGAUCUCUCCCUGUCCGGCCCAAGGACUUCCUGAAACCUCCGCCUCCGGCUGCCCGAAAAAACCGUGAGUCAGUUCGGAGGAGAGAAAGCUCCAGGAACCCGACUGUGGCGGCAGCAGCCAGAGCGCUGGGAUCCCGGACCCAGCGUCCAGAACUUCAUUCAAGCGCCCAGACCGCCCUCCAGAAAGGGGAAGCCCAGAUGGCCCGGCAAGGAUGGGAACUGGCUGCGGUUUGUCACUAGGAAUUGUUACGAAUGUCGCAGACUGGUGAAGCCCUAGCUGAAGUCCUAACCUCUACCAGAGCGGCUGCUAUCAACCAAAGUGACAGGAGAACCAUCACGAGUCGAGUUCACUUUCCAACUACUGGGCAAAGCAAAUGCCCAGAGCAAACCCCCCCCCAAAAAAUAAGUUUCUUUAAGAAAAAAAGGAAAAGGAAAAAAAUGCAAAAUAGAAAAAAAAAUUCUCUUCUGUGCUUUGCUUCAAUGAAAAUGAAAUUUGAGCUCUGAGACUGGCCCCCUCUGCUCUGCAGUUUUUUCCACUUCACCUUCUCACCCCGUCCUCCCAAACACUGUGCAAGAGCGAGAAGCCAGAGAAUUCUCCCCGAAGAGAAGCCCUGCAACCUCCAGAUCUUAACCACGCGGUGAUCUCCCCUCCAGGCACCAGUCACCUCCCACGUUUUGGCAGGGGGUGUCCUUCUUUAGUACACAGGCCUCAGCGACUCUUCCUCACACCCAGAUUAAGUUAUCAAAUGAUUUCUGCCCGCUGUGGCCUGGCGCUUCCUGAGGGGAAAUGACACCAACCUGAGAGUUUGCUGGAAUCCUAGCCCAGGCCCACCUCCGAGGCGUAGACACCUGUGGGUGCUUUCCAGAAAGCAGACAGGAGGAAAAGGAAAUAGCUCCAACCUCCACU